AGCUAAUACUUGCUUUAGCGCUCUUGACUUCGCGUCUUGAGUGUGUACUUGUUAAGCCUUAUAAGAAAAAAGUUAUUAACUUAAGGAAUUAUAACAAAGAAGUAACACGUAAUGGAUUCAUCCAUUUUUAGUGUGUAUCAAUCGAGUUUCUGACCUAUCAGCUUUUGAUGUUAG
rnacentral:rRNA from 1 species